UGCUUGAUCGCUUGGAACUAGAAGAAGUUUGACUACAUCAACCAUGUUGUCAAACGCUUCCGCUUUCAGUCUACGAGGGUAUGUGGACACACUCUCCCCCUCUCGUUGCUAUGCAUCUCCUAGAUAGGUCUUGUGUGAGCGUAGGAAAUUUUUGAAAUUGCAUGCUACGUUCCCCUACAUCUGCAUGGAUAUAUCUUGCGUGUGCGUAGAUUUUUUUUUGUUUUCCAUGGAACGUUCCCCAACAUAUAACUAUGCUCCCUGGCAAUGGCACCAAAAAAAGGUCUUGGUAACCCACAAGUAUAGGCGAUCGCAACAAUUUUCGAGGGUAGAGUAUUCAACCCAAAUUUAUUGAUUCGACACUAGGGGAGCCACUGAAUAUUUGUAAGUAUUAGCAGUUGAGUUUUUAAUUCAACCACACCUAGAGAUUAAAUAUCUGUAGCAAAGUGAUCAGUAGAACAGUAGUAUGAUAGUUUUAAUAGCAAUGGUAAUAGUAAUAGUGACAGUAACAGUGAUAGUAAUAUUUUUGUAGCCAUUGUAACAGUAGCAGCAACAGUAGUAACUUAGCAAGAACAAUAUGUGAAAAACUCGUAGGCAUUGGAUCGGUGAUUUUGUUGGAUGAUAUUCAUCAUAUAACAGUCAUAACCUAGGGCGACACAGAACUAGCUCUAGUUCAUCAAUAUAAUGUAGGCAUGUAUUUCGUAAAUAGUCAGACAUGCUUAUGGAAAAGAACAUGCAUGACAUCUUUUGUCCUACCCUCCCAUGGCAGCGGGUUCCAUAAGGAAAAUAAGGGACAUUAAGGCCUCCUUUUAAUAGAGAACCGGAACAAAGCAUUAACACCUAGUGAAUACAUGAACUCCUCAAACUAUGGUCAUCACCGGAAAGUAUCCAAUUACUAUCACCUUGGGGUUUACGGAUCAUAACAUGUAACAGGUGCAUAUAACUUGCAAGAUCGGAUCAAGAACAUAGAUAUAAUGGUGAAAACAUAAGCGGUUCAGAUCUAAAGGCAUUGCACUCGGGCCCUAGUGACAAGCAUUAAGCAUAGCAAAGUCAUAGCGACAUCAAUCUUAGAACAUAGUGGAUACUAGGGAUCAAGCCCUAACAAAACUAACUCGAUUACAUGAUGAAUCCCAUCCAACCCAUCACUGUCCAGCAAACCUACGAAGGAAUUACUCACUCCCGGUGGGAGCAUCAUGGAAUUAGUGAUGAAGGAGGGUUGGUGAUAACGAUGGCAGUGAAUACCCCUCUCCGGAGCCCAGAAUGGACUCCAGAUUUUCCCUCCCGAUGAAGAACGGGAGGUGGUGGCGGCUCCGUAUCGUGAAACGCAAUGAAACUUCCUCUCCUAUCUUUUUCUCCAAAAAUAGGAUUUUAUAGAGUUGGAAUUAGGGUCAGUGGAGCCUCGUGGGCUCCACUACCCACCAGGGCGCGCCAGAGGGGGGUGGUGCCCUGGUGCCUAGUGGGCAGAUGGGCCCUCCCCCCUCCAGUGGGUCUUGGUUUCAAAAAUCUUCAUUUAUUUCAAAAUAAUUCUCCAAAAAGUUUAUUCCAAUUCCGAGAACUUUUAUUUCUGCACAAAAACAACGCCAUGGUAGUUCUGCUGAAAACAGCGUCAGUUCGGGUUAGUUUCAUUCAAAUCAUGCAAAUUAGAGUCCAAAACAAGAGCAAACGUGUUAGGAAAAGUACAUGCGAUGGAGACAUAUCAGGGAUGCCCCGGAAGGCAACCCCUCUUUCAUCUACAAUCCAUCGGUAAAUUACUUGGAGCUAUAUUUUUAUUCAUCACAUGAUAUGAGUUUUGCUUGGGGCAUAGUGUAUUAUAGUAGUCUUUGCUUUGUUUGCUUUUAGUUUUCCACAAUCAUCUUUGUUGGACACACCUUUUGAGAGGGACAUGCAUUUAUUCCUGAUUUUUUACAAUACUAUAUGUGCUUCACUUAUAUCUUUUGAGCUAGGCAGUUGCUCUCGUGCUUCACUUAUAUCUUUUAGAGAACGGCAGUGGUUAUAUUUUAAAGAAAUAUUUUCACUCUCAUGCUUCACUUAUAUCAUUUUGAGAGUCUAAUAAAUAGUAAUGGCAAUAUGCAUGGGUUAUGAAAUUGCUCCUAAUAUGAUAGGUACUCAAGACAGAUAUAAUAAAAACUUGCAUACAGAUCACUAAAUAGGAUAAGUUUGAUUCCUUGCAAUAUAUAGUUUUGCGAUAUUAACAUGGUAACAUGUGGGAGGUGCUAGUGAAUAAAUGUGGUUUAGUAAGAAUAUUGGUGUUAAGGUAUUUGUGAUUGUCGAAGCAUGCAUGUAUAGUCUUCCGCUGUGCUAAGAAGUUGGAGCUUGGUUUAUUAUUUGAUUGUAUUACUUAUGAGUGGUGGUCAGGGACGAUCGAUGGUCUUUUCCUACUAAUCUAUCUUCCUAGGGGCAUGUGUAGUAGCACUUUGCUUUGAGGGCUAAUGUAGCGACCAGACCUCAAACAGUCUGAUCUCUGUGCUCCGGUGUCAUCCCUGGCUCAGAAAUGCUGACACCACACAGUACUCGGAGGAUUUAUAACAGAGUAGCAAUCACACACUUAUUACAUCGAGGGUCUCCAUAGAGAACUUAUUACAAUAAAUAUGGCUUAAGGCCAUCUAAUAACGAUAACAGCGGAAGGCUUGGAAGAUAAGUGAGUCCAUCAACUCCAACGGCAUCACUGAGUAUACAACCACGACCUAAAAACUCCUUAAUCGUCGUCUGAAAAGUCUGCAACAUUAACGUUGCAGCCCGAAACGGGUCAGCACAUGGAAUAUGCUGGCAAGGUAACACAUAAAGAGUAAUGGAAUGAAACAACUAUACUAUAUGCAUAUUUGGCUGGUGGAAAGCUCUAUGGUAACAGUAUUGUGUAAAGCCAAUUUUUCCCUACUACAAAGGAAUAAAUUUAUUUAACUAUCAUGGUAGUUGUUAAACAUUGAGAAUGGUUGACAGCAUCCUCAAUCCCAAUUAAAAAUGUCAUUAACAAAACCCAACAAAAUUAAUUUAGAGUAACAUGUUGAGAUUCACGUGAUAAUCCAGGUACUAGAUACUCAAGAUGUCCAUAACCGGGGACACGGCUAACCAUGAUUAGUUUAUUACACUCUGCAGAGGUUUGCGCACUUUUCCCCACAAGACUCAAUCGCCUCCGUUUGGUUUCUCGCACUACAUGGUGUUUGAUAAGACGGAUGACCGAGACAUAGUCUUCAGAAGCGCUAGCACCUUACGAUGGAUAGACCGUUACACCUACUUUCCCCUACAUCUACUAGUCUACCCUGUAAGAGUUCGCACGACUUAUUCAACUAUGCCAGAGCCCAUAAUGGCUUGUGGCUGCACACGGAAGUUUCUAGUAUGAAUAAUCUCAUGAUCCCUUUGAGCCUGGGUGGCCGUCCAAAAGAAAACAGGUAAGUCCUGGACUACCCAGGUGCCUCAAUCCACCUAGAUGUGUGUUUAAGUUGCCACCUUAGAUAAACCAUUAAUUAACAAACAUCUGUCAUGGAUAUCACUCACCCAAUCCACGUCUACUAGCAUAGCAUGGCACAAUAAGCAAAUGUAGAAGUAACUCCCAAAGGUUGAUAUAUAACAGGUGAUAGGUACUACCUUAACUACUUCCCAUCCCACAAUUUAAUUAGAUCCUAAUCAUGCAAUGUUUGAGGAUUGAUCUAAUGCAAUAAAACUGGGUAGUAGAAAAGGUAUGAUCAAAGUGUUACUUGCCUUGCUGAUGAUCCGGGAAACCUAGCGAUUCGAAGUAACAAGCGGCGCACUCCGGGUAUUCUAUCGCAGACAAACAAACAAGCAUACAAUAAGUACUCAUCUAAUGCACGGGUAAAACUCAAAUAAGAUAUCUAACCAGAAGGUUCAACUUAAGAACUCCGGUUGGCAAAAAGAAUCAAAUCGAACAAAGCAACGAAAAUCAAACGGCGAAAGAAAACAACUUCGUUCUACUAAUCUGGAUCUAAGUCAAAAUUUACAGUAGCAAAAACUUGUUUAAGUUGGUUAAACGGAUAGAGGGUUUCGAGACGAAACUCCAGGCGCUUGAAUCGCCUGAUUUCGAUAAACGAGCAAAAAGUUAUACUAAAACGAAAAUCGGAUCAGGAAUCUCGAUCAGAAAAAUCGCGGAUUUAAUCCGAGAAAAAGAAAAACGACGAACGUUCGUUAGAACGAAUGAACGGACGAACGCUCGCUAAUUAAAUAAAUCGGAAAAACCGAUCUAUUUAAAAAAACCAAACCUAGAAAAACUGAUGAAAAACCGACGGUUUUUCAAAGAAAAAAAUAAAAAACAGCGCAGAAAACGAGGCGAACCUCGGGCGGCGUGCGGCGGCGAGGCGGCGGUGUCCGGCGGCGGCGGCGCUGGGGCUGGGGCGGCUCGGGCUAGGGUUUGGCUCAGCUGGGCCUCCCCCCGGCUUAUAAAGCCUAGCGGGCUGGGAGUCCGGGUCGGACGCGGCCCCUAGGUCGGUUCGUUUUUUUUAAUAAUUACGCGCAGAAAAAAAUAAAAAGAAAUAUUAAACGGACUCCAAAAAUCCCGAAAUAAAUUUUUCCGGGCUUCUAAAAUCAAGCCGCACAAGGUGAACAUUUAUUUGGGGCCUAAAUGCAAUUUUGGAAAACGCACAUUCUCCUAAAUUCAAAUAAAAUAACGAAAAACUCCGAAAUAAAAUCUUAUUUGAUUUUAUUAUUAAAUCCUCAAUAUUUCUUUAUUUUGGGAAACUCAUUUUAUUCCCUCUCUCAUAUUUUUGUAAUAGAAAUAAUUGACGAUAAAAUAACAAAAAUCAAAUGAUCCUAUUCUCAAAAUUUGAGAAAACUCAAAUAUGAAAAUAACGAAGUCCCCAACUCUCUCCGUGGGUCCUUGAGUUGCGUAGAAAUUUAUAGGAUCAACCAAAAUGAAAAAUAAAAUAUGAUAUGCAUAGAUGAUCUAAUGUAUAACAUUCCAAAUUGAAAAUUUGGGAUGUUACGAACCUACCCCCCUUAAGAUGAAUCUCGCCCUCGAGAUUCGGGUUGGCUAGCAAAUAGGUGAGGGUGGUCCUUGAGUAAAUCUUCCUCUCGUUCCCAGGUGGCUUCAUCCUCCAUGUGGUGGCUCCAUUGAACUUUGCAAAACUUGAUAACCUUGCUGCGAGUGACUCGACUGGCAAACUCGAGAAUCUUAACUGGUUUCUCCUCAUAGGUCAGAUCGUUAUCCAAUUGAAUUGUUUCCAAUGGCACUGUGUCUCUCAAAGGUAUGUCAGCCAUCUCCGCGUGGCACUUCUUCAAUUGAGAAAUGUGGAACACAUCAUGAACUCCUGACAAUCCUUCGGGCAAUUUCAACUUGUAGGCCACUUCUCCCAUACGCUCCAAAACUCGAUAUGGUCCUACAAAUCGUGGCGCUAAUUUUCCUUUAACUCCAAAACGCUUUGUUCCCCGAAGUGGAGACACUCGAAGAGCUCUAUCUCCAACUUCGUAAACAGUCUCCUUGCGUUUAGAAUCUGCAUAACUCUUCUGUCUGGACUGGGCUACCUUGAGCCUAUCGCGAAUCAAUUUCACCUUCUGUUCAGACUCUUUAAUCAAGUCAGGUCCAAACAACUGGCGGUCUCCAACUUCGUCCCAUGACAACGGUGUCUUGCACCUCCUUCCGUACAAGGAUUCGAAAGGGGCCAUCUUUAAACUGGUUUGGUAACUAUUGUUGUAAGAGAACUCUGCAUAUGGCAAAUUGUCGUCCCAACUAGAUCCAUAAUCUAGCGCACAAGCUUUCAGCAUAUCCUCCAAAAUCUGAUUGACUCUCUCGGUCUGUCCAUCUGUCUGUGGAUGAAAAGUUGUACUGAAUUCUAGCCUAGUACCCAAAGUUUCAUGCAACUGCUUCCAGAACUUUGAGGUAAACUGGGUUCCUCUAUCUGAUAUGAUACUCCUCGGAACUCCAUGCAGACAUACGAUCCUGGUCAUGUAUAUCUUUGCCAACUUAGCACUGGUGUAAGUGGUCUUUACCGGGAUAAAAUGAGCUACCUUCGUCAAUCGAUCAACUACAACCCAAAUCGAGUCAUAGCCUGAACGAGUCCUGGAUAAUCCCGUGAUAAAAUCCAUGCCUAACUUAUCCCACUUCCAUUCGGGUAUCAGCAAUGGUUGUAACAAUCCUGCUGGCUUCUGAUGCUCUGCCUUUACUCUCUGACAUACAUCACAAACUGCUACAUACUCCGCAAUAUCCUUCGUCAUUCCCGUCCACCAGAAAAUAUCUUUCAAAUCCAAAUACAUCUUAGUAUUUCCUGGAUGAAUCGAAUAUGGUGAAUCGUGUGCCUCUUGCAGUAUCAACUUCCUGAUCUCUGGGUCAUUGGGCACGUAAACACAGUCUUCAAACCAUAGGGUGUCGUGCUCAUCCUCACGAAAUCCUUUAGCUUUUCCUUUUCUCAGUUUCUCCUUAAUAGAGGCAAUCUCCUUGUCAGUCUUCUGAGCUUCUCUAAUUCUAUCCAUCAAAGUUGACUGAAUCUCCAAUGCUGCUACAUAGCCUCUCGGAACUAUUUCCAAACAUAGUUCACGAAGAUUUUCUGCUAACUCCCUUGGUAUUUCUCCCAUCAUUAAUGUAUUGACGUGGCUCUUACGGCUCAAUGCGUCAGCUACUACAUUAGCCUUUUCGGGAUGGUAAUGCAAUCUCGUAUCAUAAUCCUUGAUGAGCUCCAACCAUCUCCUUUGUCUGAGGUUUAACUCCUUCUCCGUGAAAAUGUACUUCAAACUCUUAUGAUCCGUGUACACCUCACAAUGGUUUCCAAUGAGGAAAUGUAUCCAUGUUUUCAAUGCAUGCACUACAGCUGCUAACUCCAAAUCAUGCGUAGCAUAAUUCAACUCAUGAGGCUUCAGUUGUCUUGAGGCAUAUGAAACAACUCUCCCUUCCUACAUAAGCACUGCUCCAAGUCCUCGACGUGAAGCGUCGCAAUACACCUCAUAGUCCUUGGUCUGAUCUGGCAAAAUCAACACUGGUGAAGUAACCAAGUGUUUCUUCAACUCCUGGAAACUAGCCUCACAUUCCUCAGUCCAUUUGAACUUGGUAUCCUUCUUUAAUAACUCCUUCAUAGGCUUCGCAAUCUUUGAGAAAUUCUCAAUGAAUCUCCGGUAGUAUCCUGCGAGUCCAAGAAAACUCUGGAUCUCUCCAACCGUGGUUGGUGCUUCCCACUUGGUCACGGUAUCAACUUUUGUGGGAUCAACUGAUAUUCCUUCUCCAGAUAUAACGUGUUCGAGAAAUCCUACUUCCUUCAGCCAAAACUCACAUUUGCUGAACUUGGCAUACAACUGAUGUUCUUUGAGCUUUUCAAGUACCAAUCGCAAAUGUUCCUUAUGCUCUUCUUCAUUCUUCGAGUAAACCAGGAUAUCAUCAAUGAACACCACGACAAACUUAUCCAAGAACUCCAUAAACACUUUGUUCAUUAUGUUCAUAAAAUAGGCAGGUGUGUUAGUCAUACCAAAUGACAUAACGAUAUACUCGUACAGCCCAUACCUGGUGGUAAAAGCUGUCUUAGGAAUAUCCUGUUCUUGAAUCUUCAACUGGUGGUAUCCUGAUCGUAGAUCGAUCUUGGAAAAUACCUUAGCUCCUUGCAAUCGAUCAAACAGAUCAUUAAUCAUUGGUAGUGGGUACUUGUUCUUGAUCGUUACUUCAUUCAAUCCUCGAUAAUCAACAACCAUCCUUAACGAUCCAUCCUUCUUCUCUACUAGAAGUACUGGCAAUCCCCAAGGCGAAGAACUUGGGCGAAUAUAUCCUUUAUCCAAUAACUCCUUAAUCUGCUUCUUAAUUUUCACCAAAUCCUUUGCUGGCAUCCUAUAUGGUCUCUUCGAUAUUGGCCCGGUGCCUGGCAAUAGUUCAAUCAAAAACUCAAUAUCUCUAUCCGGUGGCAUGCCUGGCAACUCUUCUGGAAAUACUUUAGGGAAAUCCCUUACCACUGGUACUUCCUCCUACACUACUCCUGUCAAACAAUUUACUAGAGUCCUCUUGGGCACAUGCCGGGAUACAUACUUAAUCCUUCUCCCUUCUGGGGUGGUAAGCAAAAUUGUCUUACUGGCGCAAUCGAUGUUUCCUCCGUACAUCGACAGCCAAUCCAUAGCCAGAAUUACAUCCAAUCCUUGUGAUUCCAAAAUGAUUAAAUCUGAGGGAAACACAUGCCUACCUAUACUCAAUGGCACUUGAAAACAUCCUUGACUGGCCAUAUACUCCGCUCCUGGUGAGCUAACUAGCAUAGGUGUUCUAAGAACCUUAGUGGGCAGGUUAUACUUAUCCACAAAUCCCCUUGACAUGUAUGAAUGCGAUGCACCAGUAUCAAAAAGAAUGAGUGCAGUAAAUGACUUAACCAAAAACUUACCGAUGACGGCAUCUGGCUACUCUUCAACCUCCUCCACAUUUACGUGGUUCACCUGUCCCCUGUUGAAAGGGUUUGGCUUCUUCCCAGAGCUUCCAUUGCUAUUUCCAUUUUGUAAUUCAGGACAUUCAUUUGCAUAAUGUCCUGUCUUCGAACACUUAAAGCAAGUGACUUGGCUCAGGUCCUUCUUGGCUGGGGUUGAUGGGUUGGUGCGAUUCUGGCCAUUGCUUCCUCCAUUCCCAUUACCAUUCCUGGUGCCAUUGUGAUUGUGCGAGCUACCUCCUCCAUGGGUAUGCUGAAAAUGUCCUUUCGGUCUAGGGGUAAAACGUGGCUUCUGCUGAGCUCCUGAAUUGUACUUCCCUUGUCCAUAGUUCCUCUUGUGAUUCUCAAUUUGCUGAUGCUUGCCUUCAAUCAUAAGAGCACGGUCUACCAACUCCUGGUAGUUGUUGAAGGUUGCUACCAUCAACUGCAUGCUCAACUCAUCAUUCAGUCCUUCCAGAAACUUCUCCUACUUAGCCGCAUCCGUAGCAACGUCAUCUGGGGCAUAACGUGCUAACUUACUAAAGUCCUCCACAUACUGGCCUACUGUCCGUCCUCCUUGGCGCAAGUUGCGAAACUCACGCUUCUUCAUGGCCAUAGCUCCUGCUGAAACAUGGGCAGUACGAAAGGCCUACUAAAACUGGUCCCAUGUGACAGUGUUGAUAGGGAAAGUGGUUGUGAAAUCCUCCCACCAUGAUGCUGCGGGUCCUUCAAACUGAUGUGCGGCAAACUUCACCUUCUCCGCAUCCGUGCAUUCUGCUGUGGUCAACUCUCUACUUGUCUUGCGGAGCCAAUCAUCUACUACUAUCGGCUCGGUGCUACUGGAAAACACCGGUGGAUUCAGCCUAAGAAAUCGGGCUAAGUGAUCAACGGGUGGUGGUGGUGGUGGUGGGUUGUUGUUGUUGUUCCCCUGGUUCUGAUUCUGGACUAGCAACUGCAUCAAUGUGUUCUGCUGCUGGAUCAACUGGGUGAGCUCUGGUGGGAAGGUAAAUCCGGGGUCACGUCUCGGAGGCAUCUAAGGGUUUAGAAAAGAUGAGAUGUAAGAAUAGAGGGGGUCUAAAGAGAAAACACUACCCAUAUGCACAUGAGGCAAAAGCAAACAAUUCACUUCAUUCAAUCAAACAAGGGCAUACAAUCGAUCUAACUAUCGCAAAAGUGCUCGGACUACUAUAUUUACAUGGUGGACUACUACUACUGAUGAGGUGGUCUACUAGAAAUAUUCUUCGGUUGCAGACUCCAUGAUAUCUGCUUCAGCUUCAUCAACAUAGUCAUCAUCGCUUUCGUCUGGGUCCAAGUCUGUGUCAUCGAUGAUGAUGUAGUCUUCCGGGCUAAUCUCCUUGGGUUCUUCAUCUUCAUCUACUGGUGUAGCGUCUCCCAUAAAUAUCGUUAGCUUCAUAGUUAGGUCGACAUUCUUAUCCACCAAUACUUCAAUUUCCUCUUCAUAAUCUUCAUGUGUAGCCUUGAGUUCUUCCUCCAGUUCCUUGAUUCUUGUCCCUGCCUUCUUCAGAUCUAUCAUGUCAGCGCACAUCUGGUUCUCCUGUCGUCAAAUGUGCUGGUUUAACUCCUGGAUAAAAGCUGCAAUUGAUCUAUCCUUCCUGGUGCUGAUCAUCUCCCAGUGCUCAUCUCGGCGCCCACAAAUCUGGUAGAUUGUAUCCUUGAGAUCAUUGCGGUAGACUUCUCCAAUGCGUCCCAUGGCGAUGUGAGCUGCCAUGCUCUUUCCUAGACUCCAAGUUGGUGCAUCAAAAGAAAAUUCUAUGGGCUCAGUGACUGGCAUGAACGUCCUUCCUAGAACUUGAACUUGAAUCAUCCAGCGCUCUUCUUCAGGCAAAGUGGCAUUGUAGGUUCCGGUGAAGCUUGGUACUCCUAUGUUCAGGUAUCUAGUGACUUCCUUCAAGUGACGUCCAAAGGGUGUAUCUUCAUCCGAUUGCGUGAACUUGUUCCUUGCAUCUGCCAUCCUAAAAGAGUAGAAAAGAUGAGAGGUCGGAUGAGAAGAGAGUGGAUAGUGAUCUAGGUCUUUUAGCUUAGUGGUCGUGUCCUACAGUCAGCGUGUGCUCUGAUACCAUCUCUAUAGCGACCAGACCUCAAACAGUCUGAUCUCUAUGCUCCGGUGUCAUCCCUGGAUCAGUAAUGCUAACACCACACAAUACUCGGAGGAUUUAUAACAGAGUGGAAAUCACACACUUAUUACAUCGAGGGUCUCCAUAGAGAAUUUAUUACAAUAAAUAUGGCUUAAGGCCAUCUAAUAACGAUAACAGUGGAAGGCUUGGAAGAUAAGUGAGUCCAUCAACUCCAACGGCAUCACUGAGUAUAGAACCACGACCUAAAAACUCCUUAAUCGUCGUCUGAAAAGUCUACAACAUUAACGUUGCAGCCCGAAAUGGGUCAGCACAUGGAAUAUGCUGGCAAGGUAACACAUAAAGAGUAAUGGAAUGAAACAGCUAUACUAUAUGCAUAUUUGGCUGGUGGAAAGCUCUAUGGUUACAGUUUUGCGUAAAGCCAAUUUUUCCCUACUACAAAGGAAUAAAUUUAUUUAACUAUCAUAGUAGUUGUUAAACAUUGAGAAUGGUUGACAGCAUCCUCAAUCCCAAUUAAAAAUGUCAUUAACAAAACCCAACAAAAUUAAUUUAGAGUAACAUGUUGAGAUUCACAUGAUAAUCCAGGUACUAGAUACUCAAGAUGUCCAUAACCGGGGACACGGCUAACCAUGAUUAGUUUAUUACACUCUGCAAAGGUUUGCGCACUUUUCCCCACAAGACUUGAUCGCCUCCGUUCGGUUUCCCGCACUACAUGGUGUUUGAGAAGACGGAUGACCGAGACAUAGUCUUUCAGAAGCGCUAGCACCUUACGAUGGAUAGACCGUUACACCUACUUUCCCCUACAUCUGCUAGUCUACCCUGUAAGAGUUCGCACGACUUAUUCAACUAUGCCAGAGCCCAUAAUGGCUUGUGGCUGCACACGGAAGUUUCUAGUAUGAAUAAUCUCAUGAUCCCUUUGAGCCUGGGUGGCGGUCCAAAAGAAAACAAGCAAGUCUUGGACUACCCAGGUGCCUCAAUCCACCCAGAUGUGUGUUUAAGUUGCCACCUUAGAUAAACCACUAAUUAACAAACUCACAUUUGUCAUGGAUAUCACUCACCCAAUCCACCUCUACUAGCAUAGCAUGGCACAAUAAGCAAACGUAGAAGUAACUCCCAAAGGUUGAUAUAUAACAGGUGAUAGGUACUACCUCAACUACUUCUCAUCCCACAAUUUAAUUAGAUCCUAAUCAUGCAAUGUUUGAGGAUUGAUCUAAUGCAAUAAAACUGGGUAGUAGAAAAGGUAUGAUCAAAGUGUUACUUGCCUUGCUGAUAAUCCGGGAAACCUAGCGAUUCAAAGUAACAAGCGGCGCACUCCGGGUAUUCUAUCGCAGACAAACAAACAAGCAUACAAUAAGUACUCAUCUAAUGCACGGGUAAAACUCAAAUAAGAGAUCUAACCAGAAGGUUCAACUUAAGAACUCCGGUUGGCAAAAAGAAUCAAAUCGAACAAAGCAAUGAAAAUCAAACGGCGAAAGAAAACAACUUCGUUCUACUAAUCUGGAUUUAAGUCAAAUUUUACAGUAGCAAAAACUUGUUUAAGUUGGUUAAACGGAUAGAGGGUUUUGAGACGAAACUCCAGGCGCUUGAAUCGCCUGAUUCCGAUAAACGAGCGAAAAGUUAUACUAAAACGAAAAUUGGAUCAGGAAUCGCGAUUAGAAAAAUCGCGGAUUUAAUCCGAGAAAAAGAAAAACGACGAACGUUCGUUAGAACGAACGGAUGAACGCUUGCUAAUUAAAUAAAUCGGAAAAAUCAAUCUAUUUAAAAAACCGUACCUAAAAAACCGAAGGUUUUUCGAAGAAAAAAAUAAAAAAACGGCGCGAAAAACGAGACGAACCUCGGGCGGCGUGCGACGGCGAGGUGGCGGCGUCCGGCGGCGGCGCUGAGGCUGGGGCGGCUUGGGCUAGGGUUUGGCUCAGCUGGGCCUCCCCCCCCCCCCUCGGCUUAUAAAGCCUAGCGGGCCGGGAGUCCGGGUCGGACAUGGCCCCUAGGUCGGUUCGUUUUUUUUUUAAUAAUUACGCGCAGAAAAAAAUAAAAAUAAAUACUAAACAGACUCCAAAAAUCCUGAAAUAAAUUUUCCCGGGCUUCUAAAAUCAAGCUGCACAAGGUGAACAUUUAUUUGGGGCCUAAAUGCAAUUUUGAAAAAUGCACAUUUUUCCUAAAUUCAAAUAAAAUAACAAAAAACUCCGAAAUAAAAUCAUAUUUGAUUUUAUUAUUAAACCCUCAAUAUUUCUUUAUUUGGGGAAAGUCAUUUUAUUCUCUCUCUCAUAUUUUUGUAAUAGAAAUAAUUGACGAUAAAAUAACAAAAAUCAAAUGAUCCUAUUCUCAAAAUUUGAGAAAACUCAAAUAUGGAAAUAACGAAAUCCCCAACUCUCUCCGUGGGUCCUUGAGUUGCAUAGAAAUUUCUAGGAUCAACCAAAAUGAAAAAUAAAAUAUGAUAUGCAUAGAUGAUCUAAUGUAUAACAUUCCAAAUUGAAAAUUUGGGAUGUUACAGCUAAUAAACUUCCGCAAUAAGUAUGUGAGUUCUUUAUGAGUAAUGUGAGAUCAUGGAUUAUACGCACUCUCACCUUACCGCGAUUUACUAGCCUCUUCGGUGCCUUGCAUUGCCCUUUCUCACCUCGAGAGUUGGUGCAAACUUCACCGGUGCAUCCAAACCCCAUGAUAUGAUAUGCUCUAUCACACAUAAGCCUCCAUAUAUCUUCCUCAAAACAGUCACCAUACCUACCUAUUAUGGCAUUUUCAUAGCCAUUCCGAGAUAUAUUACCAUGCAACUUCCAUUGUUCUAUUAUUAUCGCACAUAGCAUCAUUGUCAUAUUGCUUUGCAUGAUCAUAUAGCUGACAUAGCAUUUGUGGCUCAGCCAUCGUUCAUCAUUUUUAUGCAUGUUACGCUAGAUCAUUGCACAUCCUGGUACACUGCUAGAGUCUUUCGUAUAGAGUCAUAUUUGUUCUAGUAUCGAGUUAUAAUUUUGAGUUGUAAGUAAAUGGAAGUGUGAUGAUCAUCAUUAUUAGAGCAUUGUCCUAGUGAGGAAAUAAAAAAGAGAAAAAAAGAGGACAAAAAGGGCCCAGAAAAUGAGAGAAAAAGAGAGAAGAGGCAAUGUUACUAUCCUUUUCCACACUUGUGCUUCAAAGUAGCACUAUGUUUUUCAUAUAGAGAGCCUCCUAUGUUAUCGCUUUCAUAUACUAGUAGGAAUUUUCCAUUAUAGAACUUGGCUUGUAUAUUUCGAUGAUGGGCUUCCUCAAAUACCCGAGGUCUUCAUGAGCAAUCAAGUUGGAUGCACACCCACUAAGUUUUCAAUUUGAGCUUUCAUACACUUAUAGCUCUUAGUGCAUCGGUUGCAUGGCAAUCCCUACUCGCAUUGACAUCAAUUGAUGGGCAUCUCCAUAGCUCGUUGAUUAGUCACAUCGAUGUGAGACUUUCUUCCUUUUUGACUUCUCAUUAAUUUUUAUCAUUGUAUUCUAUUCCACCCAUAGUGCUAUAUCCAUGGCUUACGCUCAUGUAUUGCGUGGGGGUUGAAAAAGCUGAAGCGCGCUAAAAGUAUGAACCAGUUGCUUGGCUUUUCACCAAGGUUGUACAUGAUAAAUACUUUGUGUUAAGAAGAUGGAGCAUGACAAGACUAUAUGAUUUUGUAGGGAUAAUUUUUUUUAGCAUUUUAAUUUUGAAAUACAUGAUUGUUUGUUAGUAUGCCUGAGUAUUGAUGUCUUUAUAUCAAAUUAUAGACUAUUGCUUUGAAUCAUCCAGAUCUUAAUAUUCAUACCAUAAAAGAAAGAUUACAUAAAAAAUUUAUCAUUUACCUACUCGAGGAUGAGCAGGAAUUAAGCUUCGAGAUGCUUGAUACGUCUCCAAUGUACCUAUAAUUUUUUAUUGUUCCAUGCUAGUAUAGUAUCAAUCUUGGAUGUUUUAUAUGCAAUUAUAUAUCAUUUUUUGGGACAACCUAUUAACCUAAUGCCCAGAGCCAGUUGCUAUUUUUUUGUUUGUUUUUGGCUUUUCAAGAAAUUAGUACCAAACGGAGUCCAAACACUACGAAACUUUUUGACAUUUUUUAUGGACCAAGAGAGACCUUAGAAGGUUCGGGAGAAGACCAAACGAGCCACGAGGGAGCGGUAAGCUCACCAGGCACGCCCUAGGGGGCGCGCCCCUUGAGCUUGUGGCCCCUCGUGGCACAUAUUGACCUAAUUCCACCUUUAUAAAUUCACAAAUAUUCCCAAUAUACCAUAGAGGCACCCGAAGCACUUUUUCCACCGCUGCAAACUUCUAUUAUUUCGUGAUCCCAUCUGGAGGCUUUUUACGGUACUCUACCGGAGGGGGAAUCGAUCACGGAGGGCUUCUACAUCAUCCUUGCUGCCCUUUCGAUGAUGCGUGAGUAGUUUAACACAGACCUACGGGUCCAUAGCUAGCAGCUAGAUGGCUUGUUCUCUCUCUUUGAUCUUCAAUACCACGUACUCCUCGAUCUUCUUGGAGUUCUAUCUGAUGUAAUCUUCUUUUGCGGUGUGUUUGUUAGAAUCUAAUGAAUUGUGGGUUUAUGAUCUGAAUAUUUGUGAAUAUUAAUAUAGUUUUCUCUGAACUCUUUUGAUUGUUAUAGCUUUGUAUUUCUCUUCGGUUUAUCCGUUUGGUUUGGCCAACUAGAUUGAUCUAUCUUGCAAUGGGUGAGGUGCUUUGUAAUGGGUUUGAUCUUGCGGUGCUCCAACCUAGUGACAGAAAGGGAAAGGACACAUAUUUGUAUUGUUGCUAUUAAGGAUAAAAAGAUGGAUUUAUUCAUAUUGCUUGGAUUUACUUUGUCUACAUCAUGUCAUCCUGCUCAAGGCCUUACUCUGUUUUUAUUAACUUAAUACCCUAGAUGCAUGUUGUAUAGCGGUCGAUGGGUGGAGUAAUAGUAGUAGAUACAGGCAGAAGUCGGUCUACUUGUCUCGAAGGUGAUGCCUAUAUACAUGAUCAUUGCCUUGAAUAUCGUCAUAACUAUGCACUUUUCUAUCAACUGCCCAAUAGUAAUUUGUUUACCCACCGUAUGCUAUGUGUUCGAGAGAGAAGCCUCUAGUGAAAACUAUGGCCCCCGGGUCUACUUUUAUCAUUUAUAAAAUCCAAAAAUACUUUGCUGCACUUUUUAUGUUUUAUUUUAUUUUGCAAUUUACUUUAUCUAUCUACCACUACAAGAUUUGAUCCUUGCAAAUAACCGCCAAGAGGAUUGACAACCCACUUGUUUGUGUUGGGUGCAAGUAUUUGCUUUUGUGUGUGCAGGUGCUACCAAUGAGUUUUUGUGUGGUUCUCCUACUGGAUUGAUAAUCUUGGUUCUUAACUGAGGGAAACACUUAUCUCUACUAUACUGCUGCAUCAUCUCCUCUUCGAAGAAAUCCCAACGCAGCUCACGAGUAACAAAAACCAGCAACAUACUUUUAAGGGCGUAACUAAAUUUCCUCUACGGACGGGAUUAUCAAAGUAUCAUCAACAUAUUGGACAAUAGGGUAAUCUUGGUCAUGGCAAGGGAUUGGGAGCUGCAACACACACCUCUAGUGCAUGUCAUUAACCAACAACUGAAGCUGAUUAGCUGCAAGUACAAACAACAAAGGAGAUAAAGGAUAUUCCUACCUAACACCCCUCUUACAGCAAACUACUUCCCAGGAACAUGAUUCAAAAGAACAUAUGAUGUUCUAGUGGAUAAAAGUUGCUCCACCCAGCAAAUCCAUUUAGAAUCACAACCUUCGUGUUUGUGAGUCUCCAAGAAGGUUGAAUGCUCAACAGAAUGAAAAGCCUUUUCAAAGUCCAAUUUCAGAAUUAAAAUGGUUGAUGGCACCGAUGGGGGUAUUCAAGUGUCCAACCAAUGCAAUCUUGUAUUGUCCUGCUCGUAAUAAAACCAUAUUGAUUUUUGUGAAUGCAUCUCAUAUUAUCCUUCUGAAACAUGUUACGAGCAAUCUUUGACAACAACUUCAAGCCCAUGCUAGUAAGACAAAUUGGCCUAUAACCCCCUACCGUCUCGGGUGAAAGCUUCUUGGGAAUUAGGGUAAUAUAAGAUCCAUUAAUAUUAUUUAACCUGGCGUUCCCCUCAUAGAAGGACUAAGCAAGAGCAUAGAAUUCUUUGCAAACGAUGGGCCAACAUUUCCUAAAGAAAAGGCCAUUGAAGCCAUCGGGUCCUAGGGCCUUGUCAAUAGGCAUAUUCUUGAUAAUCAGAUCCAUUUCAUCAUUUUCAAAAGGCUUUAUUAAUUCAUCCAGUCCAUCCACAUGGUUGAGGAGAGAAUUUAAAUCAAAUCCCAUAUUAAUUCCUUUAGCAACCCCCAUCCUCCCCUUAAAACUAGACCAAAUAACACCUCCACCUAGCUAUGAUCAGAAAUCAUAGUCCCAUCGGUAAGCUGCAGAAGACUGGCAAUGGAAUUCCUGUUGGACCUCUCAGUUGCUAUAGCAUGAAAGAUUUUGUAUUCUCCUCCCCCACCUUGAUAUACCUAAUGGUACAUCUCUUUUUUUUGAGAAAACACAAAGACUUGGUGUUUCUUUUCAUUGAAAGGGGGAGAAGUUACAUGCCUCCUAGGAGGGGGGGGGGGGUUUACAGUUUAUCUUACAGUGAUCUUGGUGGACAUCCCAGGUGCUUGGGAUCACCAAUCGAUGGCUUGAAGCCCCAGCCUCAACCCAUAGGGCGACCUCUGCUUUGAUUCUCUUUGUUAGUUGGUGGACGGAUGGUUGAUCCCCAUCGAAGACACAAGCAUUUCAUUGUUUCCAAAUCAUCCAUCCCAUCAGUAGCAAAGCAUCGCGGUUGCCAGUCCCUUGCGAAGCGGUUUGGGGGUCGUCGCCUUGACAGCAAACCACCAUCCGGAGAUGGAGGCAUCCCGGUUAGGUGGUCUGCACAUCAUCCUUAACCAGACAAGGGUAUCAUGCCAUACCUGCCACGAGAAGGGGCAUGAAACUAGUAGGUGGCGCAUCGUCUCUGGUUCCUGGUCGCAAAGGACGCAACAGGGGUGGUGCUGCAGGCCACGGCGUUGCAAUCUCUCAACAGUCCAACGCCUAUCCAGGUUGGCGAGCCAAUGGAAAAACUUGACUUUUGGUGGCGCCCAGGUCUUCCAAAUCAAUGCCGAGGCAUUGCAGCUGGUAUUGAAAAACUUCACUUUUGGUGGCACCAAGGUCUUCCAGAUCAAUGUCGAGGCGCUGCAGUUGGUACAUCUCUUUUUUAUGCAACAAAUGUUCCACAUGCAACUUAAUAAUCUUCCUAAAUUGAACUCCUGCCUAUACAAAGGCCUCAAUUCCUCCAAAUUAUUUGGAAUAACAAUGACCUUGUUACACUUACUUAUUAGGAGCUUCAUUCUAGCAAUGCUCAAUUGCCAUUUCUUCAAAUCCUGCCUAAGAGAUUUCAGCUUAUGCGAUAUGAGUCUUUCUGGAUGGCCUCUCCCAAGACUACUUGAUACAAUCAAAAAAAACCUUCAAUUUCCACCCAAUAAUUCUCAAACCUGAAUAAGUUAGAUAUAUGGAUGGAGAUUGUAAUCCUAACUACAUAGGCAACAUGAUCACAAAACAACAUUUCGAUACCAAAGGUAAUCAAAACUUGAACUAUUUUAUUGAGAACCUGGAUGAUUCCGCCAUUCCGGUUCAGGAUCAAAAUAGUAUGGUUACAGACCAAAAAAGAAAAAGAACAAAAGAAAAGUCGCAUCCUCUAUGCACUUCAAAAGUGCAGCAGAAUACACAACACAACAGGCUUCGUACGUUGCUUCAUUCUUCUCAGCUACAACGGAAGCAGGGGUUAUUCACCAUGGACC
rnacentral:lncRNA from 1 species